rnacentral:rRNA from 1 species
UAAAAAGGUACAAAAGGGCACUGAUAGUGGAUGCCUUGACAAUCAAUACCGAUGAAGGCCGUAGAACUCUGCGAUAAGCUUCGGGGAUCUGAGAGCAAGAUUUGAUCCGGAGAUAGCCGAAUGGGGAAACCUGACUUGGGUCAUGCCAAGUUGCUUUUACCUGAACACAUAGGGUAAUAGACGGGAACCAGCCGAACUGAAUCAUCUAAGUAGGUUGAGGAAAAGAAAAUAAACAAUGAUUCUGGGAGUAGUGGCGAGCGAAACUGGAAUAGUCUAAACCUUUUUGAAUUUCUAUCGUAUCUCACUGUGCUUACUUUUUGUAUUCACAGUGCCAUCACAGGAGGGUCAGACGGCAGAGGGAAUGUCGGUUGCCAAGCGGCACGACACUUUAGCCGACCCGUUGGGCGGCAAAUCUAACCUUUAAAAGCGGGAAAAAACGACCGCACCCGCUCCCUCCUUGUGAGAUUUUAUAAAGCCGCCGCUUGUUGACUGGAUGAGAGGCAACAGGCGGCGUGCCGAUUUCGUUCCGCGCUUAUUUUUCACCCUUUUGUUAUGCGGUUUUGGCAGGUUGCCGCCUCCUUAUUUCCUGCUAACGGGCAAAAAAGCUUCAAAAAAUAAAAGUUUUUCUUCCUUUCUGAUGGGUGUGGGUGGAAAAUCCAGCGUGGUGUACUUUUAUAAGGAGGGGGAGCGCAUUUUUUGCGUUUCCCCCUCCAGUUUCUUGAAAAAGCAUAGUGAGAUACGAUGGAUAGGUUUAACGACCAAUAUUCGAAAAGGGGUUGCGUGUUUGCACAAUUUUUAUGACAUUUUCCUUUUACAUUUUUGAAUCAGGAUUUAUUCCUGUUCAAAAAUGACCAUAAAAGGAAAAGAGGAAGAGAAAAACCAUAGGUUUGUCUCUUAUGUCAUAAAAACCGACAGCGUUAACUGAACGGAUAAUGUAAAAAAACUUUGAUGUUAGCGGAAGCGUUUGAAUGGCGCGCCAGAGAGUGUGAAAGCCACGUAUGCGAAAACAUCAUUGACAUUAUAUGUGUUUUCACAAGUAGGACGGGGCACGAGAAACCCUGUUUGAAUCCGGCGGGACCACCCGCCAAGACUAAAUAUAUUGAUUGAUCGAUAGCGAACUAGUACAGUGAUGGAAAGGUGAAAAGAACCCCGGGAGGGGAGUGAAAUAGAUCCUGAAACUCAGUGCCUACAAGGUGUCGGAGCCUUGCAAGAAACAAAGUCUAUGACUUUAGUAACUUUUUUAUUUUUUAAUUUCAAUUAGAUGAAUGAAAGGAGCUGGAAAGAGUAUGAGGCGUCGUGUAGCGGAAGUAGACCUGGACGCUGAGAGGCGUGCGGCUAUCCCAGAGGAGCUUUUAUUGGAUGGCAAGAUUGUUUUGUCUGUUUCGGUAGAAGAAAUGGCUGAGAUUGAUAAAAGAACCGACGAAGAGAUUUGGCGAAAUCAAGCGGAACAAGCAUGCGCUUUGGAGCGGUCGGUCCGGAGGGACAGGAUUGACCACAACUGCGCCAGGAACUUGGGCUAGCGAGAGUUAGCGUAAAUGGAAUGCACUUGUUUUAAGUGUCUGGUGCUUUCCGAAGUGGAGUCUAAUUGAAAAAAAGAUAAAAAUGUCCAGCGGCGUUUAGCCGCUGGGCUAACUAUAGAGCUAUUAGAGUUAAAUGAGAUGUCAUAGUUUUUGUUUCUUGCAGGGUGACGGCGUGCUUUUUGUAGAACGAUCCAGCGAGUUAAUUUUGUCGGCAAGGCUAAGUCAGUUGACGGAGCCACAGUGAAAGCGAGCCUGAAUAGGGCGAAUAGUCGGCAGAAUUAGACCCGAAACGGGGUGACCUAACCAUGAGCAGGUUGAAGCUAAGGUAACACUUAGUGGAGGACCGAACCGGGACACGCAGUAAAGUGUUCGGAUGACUUGUGGUUAGCGGUGAAAUGCCAAUCGAACUCCGAGAUAGCUGGUUCUCCUCGAAAUAGCUUUAGGGCUAGCGUUGUUUUAGUAGCAUUUGGGGGUAGAGCUCUGAAAGGGGCUGGGGGGAGCAAUCCUACCCACUCCUAACAAACUACGAAUACCAAAUGUGUAACAACAGCAGUCAGAACGGCGGGGCUAAGCUCGUCGCUCAAAAGGGAAACAGCCCAGACCAUCGUCUAAGGUCCCUAAAUAAUACUAAGUGGGAAACAAAGUGAGAUUUCUUAAACAGCUAGGAUGUUGGCUUAGAAGCAGCCAUUCAUUUAAAGAGUGCGUAACAGCUCACUAGUCAAGAGAUUUUGCGUGGAAAAUGUAACGGGGCUCAAGUAUUAUACCGAAGACAUGGAUAUAGACUAAGAAAUAAAGUCAAAGUUUGACUUCUUUGAGCAAUUUUCAAAUCAGAAUUUAUUUCUGGUUUGAAAAUACAAUUAAGGAAAAAGAGGAAGAGAAAAAACCUUUGGUUUUGUCUCUUAGUCUAUGUGGUAGAGGAGCGUUGAUAUUGCGGUGAAGUCGGAUUGGAAAGUCCGGUGGAGCGGUAUCAAGUGAGAAUGCUGGAAUCAGUAACCUUAAGACAGGUGAGAAUCCUGUCGGUCGUAAGAGCAAGGUUUCCAGGGCCACUGUAAUAGUCCCUGGGUUAGUCGGUCCUAAGCCGAGGCGCAUCAGCGUAGGCGAUGGACAGCAGGUUAAUAUUCCUGCACAGGUAGUAGUUGUUGACAUUUCACGGUAUGUGACCGGAGCGGAUUUAUGGUAUAUCCGUCCAAGAUUCUCGGGAACGAGAAUUGAGUGAAACUUACCCUUCGGGGUGAGAAUUCUGGGUAAAGUGCUGGCUAGAAAAGAUGAUCAGCUUAUGCUGCUGCCUACCGUACCGCAAACCAACACCGGUGCUCGGGUCGAGCAGACCAAGACCUACGAGAGAACCUUCGCUAAGGAACUCGGCAAAAAAGCGUCCGUAACUUCGGAAUAAGGACUGCCCCAUCACUUCGGUGAUGAUUUGCUAAAGAUGAGUUCUCCUCAGCGGGAGAUUUGACGGUUACAAUCGAGAUUUCGUCAUUUCGAAUGAAGUGAGAAAUCUUUUUGUAUCUUUUAUAAAAUCGAAUUUCUUUGUUGAGACAGAACAACAAUCUUUAGUAGGCUAAUCGUCGCUUUGCCUUUCAAAAGUCUCUGAUUUUUGAAUAAAAAAUCAUUUUCAAAAUCGGAAUUUAUUUCCGUUUUGAAAAUUGAGAUAAGGAAAGGAAGAAAACCUUGGUUUUCUUAAACGAAGUGAUGGGGCCGCAGCUAAAGAUCCCACGGAACUGUUUACCAAAAACACAGGUCUCUGCUAACGCGAAAGCGGAUGUAUAGGGGCUGACUCCUGCCCAGUGUCGGAAGGUUAAGGGGAGAACUUCACGGUUCGAACUGAAGCCCCGAUGAACGGCGGCGAUAACUAUGAUCGUCCUAAGGUAGCGAAAUUCCUUGUCUGGUAGACGAACUUGCCAGGAUAGAAAGAAAUUUCUAUUUGUGUAAAGGAAAGGUGAACGGGAAGUGAAAUUUGUGCGACACAUAUAUGGCUAUAUGCUGGAAACUCUGAGUAUAUUUUGAUACCCAAGCGGUGACAAUUCAAAAUUGCAGACAAUCAGCAGGAAAGGCUUGAUGUAUUAUGUUCUGUUGAUUGUAUUUUGCUGUGCUACUUGACGUUCUACUUUUACCUUGUUGCGUACAUUAAUUUGUGCGCGAGUUCAACUCGGUAUUCGCGAAUGCGUUAUUGGGCUUCUGCGUGAUGUGAGGCGGCACACCUCGGCACGUAAUCGGAGGCUAUAUCUCGGUAAGCCUACCGUCCCUCUUUACGAAGAGACGAACUCCCUAAGGGGGCUGGCGUCCGAGCGCCAAACGGAUAUAGCGGGGAUGCUCUUCGCGUUAUAUUUGUGGGGUAGCUCGCACUUUGAGCUACCCAAUCCAUAACAUAGCAAAAUACAAUCAACGACAAACUAUCAAGAAUCCUCAUCGACUACACGCCAUACCCCGAGCAAUCGGGUGAAGAUAUAGUCAAAUCUCUAUGGCGACAUAGAGGCAGUGAAAAAUCUAUCACUGCGGUAACAAUGAAAUGUCAAUGCGCUUUUUCAAAAUCUUUGAUUUUGGAAAUCAAAGGUAGUUUCAAAAAUCCGAAUUCAUUUCGAUUUUUGAAACAGAACUAAGGAAAGGAAGAAAACGUAGUUUUCUUAAGCGAAGCGAUGAAGUUCAGACCCGCACGAAUGGAGUAAUCAUGUGGGAACUGUCUCGGCGAAGGCCUCGGUGAACGUGCAUUGGCGGUAAAGAUGCCGUCUGAUCAUGCCAGGACGAGAAGACCCCAUGGAGCUUUACUACAACUUUGCAUUGAUUAUUGGAACAUUUUGUGUAGCAUAGGUGGAAGCCUUUGAAGCCGAUACGCUAGUAUUGGUGGAGGCGACAAGUGAAAUACCACCCUGAGUGUUUUAGUAAUCUUAACUCAAGACUUAUAUCAGCCUUGAGGACCGUGCAUGGCGGGUAGUUUAACUGGGGCGGUUGCCUCCUAAAGAGUAGCGGAGGCGUUCAAUGGUUGGCUAAUCACGGAUGGAAAUCGUGAUGAUAGUGUAUGCGCACAAGCCAGCUUGACUGUGAGGGCCACAACCCAAUCAGACACGAAAGUGGGAGCAAGUGACCCGCUGUAUAGAACUUCGGUUCAAAUUAUGUGGGAAAGACAGCGCACACGGAUAAAAGUUACCCUGGGGAUAACAGGCUGAUCGCAUCCAAUAGUUCACAUAGACGAUGCGGUUUGGCACCUCGAUGUCGGCUCAUCACAUCCUGGAGGGGGAGCACCUUCCAAGGGUCCGGCUGUUCGCCGGUUAAAGUGGUACGCGAGCUGGGUUCAGAACGUCGUGAGACAGUUCGGUUUAUAUCCGGCAUGAUCGUUAGGAAAAUUGAGAAGAGCUGGUCUUAGUACGAGAGGACCGGACUGGACGAACCUCUGGUGUAUCGGCUGUGGCCACCUGCUGCAGUGCCGAGUAGCUAUGUUCGGAACGGAUAAGCGCUGAAAGCAUAUUAAGCGCGAAGCCAACUUCAAGAUUAGUUUUCCCUAUGAACUCCCAGAAAGAUAAUCUGGUUGAUAGGUGCAAGGUGCAAGUGCGGCAACGCAUUCAGCCGAAGCAUACUAAUAGAGUCAUUGCCUUUUUAUG